CCCUGAAAGGUUAUAAAUAUGGAAACCCUGAACCAAGAUCUUCAGAGCGGGUGGAGACUGAGAAAUGUUUCAGGUUGUUUGAACCUAACAUUUAAUUGGUCCUUCGAGCCGGAUCCCAAGACAUCCACGAGGUUCCGGCAGGUGCGGGGAAACCAGGGCGAGACUGUGGCCACAGCAGGUUCACCAGGAACCUCAUCCCACCUUUAGGGAUUCCAGGUUUCAGCGCACCGGUCGGGAUCCGUGGAUUGACGGGGAGUCGAAGAAGAAAGACAACAGAGGGUGAGUGUGUCUUUGGUUGAAAAGAGAAGAAUGACUGAGGGUCAUAGAACGUAAAACCCUGUAAAUCCUAGGCUCUAACAGGUGCUGAGGGACGGCGAAGUCCAAAGGGGACGGCGGAGACCAACAAAUUCUGCACGCAAAAAAACAAAAAACAAAAAAAAAAGGGGGACGGCAGAGUCCGACAAAUUCCGCAAAAUGAGACGACGAAGUGUGAUACGUCAGAUCGGUGGAGACCAACAAAUUCUGCAAGCAAAAGUAAAAAAAAAAAAAAAGUGAGAGAGUGUGAGUGUGGUUGGAGUUUAGAAUACCACUUGGUAUUUUAAACUCAUGCAAAGCAGUGGGAACAAAUAAUAGACUGGUGUGGAUGCAAUAGGCAAGAAUUCUCCACUCGAAAGAGUUGAAGUGAGAAUUACCACAUCAGGUUGAGCUGCUAUCCCACUGGAUGAAUCCCAGCCUAUAGAACAGCCUAGGUGUUGACAGGACUGGACUAAAUUCUCUAAAAUACUGGUAUUUAAAUAAAUACAUAAAUAAAUAGUAUACAUAAAAAUAAAUUAUAUAAAUGAAAUAAAAGACUAACAAGA